GAAUUUCCCAAAUCCGAAAGAGAGAUACUCAAUUGAAUUCACUUAUUUGAAAAAGCAAUUGUGUAGAAUCUUAAAACGUAGUAACGAAAACAGUUAUAGAAAACUGAUUGACUGACUAAAACAGAGAGCUAAUUCUUAACUAACUUGAACCACUUCAGAUUCUUCCGAUUGGUCCACUUGUUUCCAGCUCAGAAGGCUUAAAAAUCCAGUCAGUGCUGGGAUGUAACAGUUUGAUUGCAAUUUUGGGAUUUGAAAUUAGGGUUUUCCUGUUGAAAUGUGUUGAAGUUAACAAAUCGCAAUAUACUAUAAGUUAAGUUUGUAUGUGUAUGCUUAAAUGCAAUUUAGGAUUUUGAUGUUUUGGUUUUGCUGUAAAAUAUGCUAAAGUUAAGAAAGUUCAGAAUAUGUUGAAAGUUAAAAUAUGUUUUAGGACGAGUUGAUUUGAAACAAUUCGUAAACAUAUGAUAGCAUUGCCCUCAAUUCGUAAACAUAGGAAUAUCAGAAACAAAUCUUAUGAAGAAAUGUAUGAAUUUCUUCAAAAAGACCAAUUUAAUAAUCUUAUGAAGAUAAGGACUGAAACCAGAGUUAUCAUAUUCAAGGUUCUAAAAAAACGCUAGGCGGUAAUCGGGCGGCCGGAGGGGGGCCUAGCGCCUAGGCGGUUUCGCCUAGGCGGGGCCUAGGCGUUGUUUUUUUAUUAUUGUAAAUCAUUUAAUAUUUAUUAAAAAUAAUAAUAAAUGACCCAAAAUAUCAAAUUCUAACCAAAAAAUGAUAUCAAAAUAGUUAAAGUUCAAAUAUUUACUAUUGAUAAUACAAAAGAGAAGAAGAAAAUAAAACAUGGACAAAUUUAGGUCUCUAAAAUACAUACAAAUUAGAAAUAGGUCUCUAAAGCGCUAGGCGUUAAGCUGGCGGGCGGAGGGGCCCAACGGCCUAGGGGGGGCUUAGGACGUCAGGGGCGGCCGAGGGGGGCCUAGCGCCUGGCGGAAGGAUUUUUAGAACAAGAGAUCUAUUCUUUUCCAUAGGAGGACCGAAGAAUUUAUUUCAGUAACAAUUGAGUACCAAAUCAUUUUAUAAAAAUCUGAAUACAUGACAUACCUUUCUUUUUUCUUCAAGUAAAAUAAACCUAAGUAAUGCGAGAGAAAAAUCAUCAAUAAACAUGACAAACCAUUAUGGCCAGUAAGGUGUAAAAUUCUAGAAGGGGACCCCAAACCUAUAAUAACAAGUGAAAAAAGAAACAUUUGUUUUAUUAGGACUAAUAGGAAAAUUAACACGAUAAGUUUGCCAAGUUCCCAAGAUUCAUAUUGAAAAAUAACGAACAAUAGAACUACUAGGUAAUAAAGACCUAGAAAGAGGGGAAAUAAAUAUUGGAUCAAAAUGAACGAGGGAUGACCAAAGUCGGACAGUGCCAAAGCCAAAUAGUCUCUUACAGAUGGAGAGAUGGAGUGUGAUUAGCAACAAAAAAGUCCUGGUGUAUGAGCCAGAAUAAUCCAAAAAAUUAAUAGGCCAUUGGUUCCUUACCAUACCACGUCGGCUCGUUUUGAAAGAUCCUGAAACCACACAGGAAGAAGGAAAAAUGUACACUAUAGUUCAAAUCAUGAGUUAUAGACUAAAGAUAAAAGAUUGGUAGUAAAAACAGGCAUAUGUACAACAAAGGACAAUUUUAAAGAGAAGGAUGUCGGUUGUGGUCUAUGUGCUAUAUGGCACUGUAAAACAUUUUCAAAAAUCGACGAAAAAGACCAUAAAGCUUAUUUUAACGUGGUAGGGCUCCUAUAGGGAGUAUUAGGAUAAGAAAAAUUUGAUUGACCACCUCAUAUGAUCAGAUGCACCAAAACAAGAAUCCAAGGAAUAGCAGAAUAUGACAUAAAUGCCUCCUGGUUGGAAAUUACCGAUCGGGCAGUUACAUAAGUGGACAAAAGGAAGAUAGGCACAGGUAGAGUAUCUAGACGUGACAACACCACGCUGCGAAGCAACUCAAUCUCAUAAUAGUACAAGGGCCAUAAAUCAAGCCUGUAGAUGGAGUCUCACCCCUAUAGAAUGACGAGCACGGACUGCCACCACGACCACCCAUGAGCCUGAAACGACACCUCGUCCUCGAUGCUCGGUCGAUCAUGGGAUGCCAACAGUUUUUCUUCCUAGUUGUGACGAAUCACCUGGCAGUAACACAUGUAACUUAUCCUUAUCGAUCACUACCACAAAGGAUCAGAAUCCACGAUGGGUAGGGCUAGUUUUGCGACACUUCAGACUGUGGAAACAGAAAUAAGAAUUCUGACCGCUAAUAAGGAAUCGGUGGUAACAUCACACCCCCUGACACGCUCUACUCAAUUGUUUGGAUAUGGUCAAAGGCUCUCUCAAUGAGGGAAUUGGAUCAAUAAUUCAGUAUACGCACCAGACUUGAUCAUACUCAUCUCUAACCAGCUAACAACUGAAUCACCGUUGUCUUAAUAAAUUUUUGGAAAAAAAAAAGUGCAGCAGUAUCAUUAGGACAACAUGAGUGUAAUCCUAAUCA
rnacentral:lncRNA from 1 species